rnacentral:tRNA from 3 species
GCAAACGUGGCGGAACUGGCAGACGCGCUAGACUUAGGAUCUAGUGGGGAAACCCAUGCAGGUUCAAUUCCUGUCGUUUGCACCA